rnacentral:rRNA from 1 species
UAAGGCGAGGCAGAGAUGCGUAGCUGAUGGGAAGCAGGUUAAUAUUCCUGCACCGUCGUUAGAUGCGAUGGGGGGACGGAUCGCGGAAGGUUGUCCGGGUGUUGGAUGUCCCGGUUUCUGUAUCAGAGAAGGCUGUUAGGCAAAUCCGGCAGCGUAAUUCAAGGGUAUGGGACGAGCGAACUUGUUCGCGAAGCAAUCGGAAGUGGUUCCAAGAAAAGCCUCUAAGCUUCAGUCUAACGAGACCGUACCGCAAACCGACACAGGUGGGCGAGAUGAGUAUUCUAAGGCGCUUGAGAGAACUCGGGAGAAGGAACUCGGCAAAUUGGUACCGUAACUUCGGGAUAAGGUACGCCCUUGUAGUUUGACUGGCCUGCGCCAGAAGGACGAAGGGGUUGCAAUAAACUGGUGGCUGCGACUGUUUAAUAAAAACACAGCACUCUGCAAACACGAAAGUGGACGUAUAGGGUGUGACGCCUGCCCGGUGCUGGAAGAUUAAAUGAUGGGGUGCAAGCUCUUGAUUGAAGUCCCAGUAAACGGCGGCCGUAACAAUAACGGUCCUAAGGUAGCGAAAUUCCUUGUCGGGUAAGUUCCGACCUGCACGAAUGGCGUAACGACUUCCCCACUGUCUCCAGGACAUGCUCAGCGAAAUUGAAUUCUCCGUGAAGAUGCGGAGUACCCGCGGUUAGACGGAAAGACCCCGUGCACCUUUACUGCAGCUUCAGAGUGGCAUUAGGAAAGAACUGUGUAGCAUAGGUGGGAGGCUUUGAAGCAUUGGCGCCAGCCGGUGUGGAGCCAUAGGUGAAAUACCACCCUGUUGUUUUCUGAUGUCUAACCUGCGUCCAUGAAACUGGACGAGGGACCCUCUGUGGCGGGUAGUUUGACUGGGGCGGUCGCCUCCUAAAGAGUAACGGAGGCGCGCGAAGGUUGGCUCAGGACGGUUGGAAACCGUCUGUUAGAGUGCAAUGGCAUAAGCCAGCCUGACUGCGAGACUGACAAGUCGAGCAGGUACGAAAGUAGGACAUAGUGAUCCGGUGGUUCUGUAUGGAAGGGCCAUCGCUCAACGGAUAAAAGGUACUCUGGGGAUAACAGGCUGAUUCCUCCCAAGAGUUCAUAUCGACGGGGGAGUUUGGCACCUCGAUGUCGGCUCAUCACAUCCUGGGGCUGUAGCCGGUCCCAAGGGUAUGGCUGUUCGCCAUUUAAAGUGGUA